CCCUGGAACUCUGGCCCAAGGCUCUCUGACUGACUCCUUCCCAGAUCUUCUCGGCUUAGCGGCUGAAGACCGACGCUGCCGGAUCGUCUCGGAAGCCCCGUAGACCAUCACGGACGCCGAGCUUUAAGUAACUCUCACAGUGGACGGUAAGUCCGUCCCCUUCUUAAUCAAUACGGAGGCUACCCACUCCACAUUACCCCCCCUUUUUCCUUUACCUACCCAAAUCCUAUAAAAUGGCCCCACCCCUAUCUCCCUUCGCUGACUCUCUUUUCAGACUCAGCCCGCCUGCACCCAGGUGAUUAAAAGCUUUAUUGCUCACACAAAGCCUGUUUGGUGGUCUCUUCACAUGGACGUGUGUGAAACCAGCUACUUGGGAAGUGGAGGCAGGAGGAUCGCUUGUGUCUAGGAGGUCAAAGCUGCACUGAGUUAUGACGGCAUCACUGCACUCCAGCCUAGCAUCCUUAAGAGUAAGCACUAUUAUUAUCAUCAUUUUACAAAUGAGGAAACUGAAGCACAGAAAUGUCAAGUGGCUUUCCCAAGGUCAUACCGCAAGUAAGUCACAGAAUCAGUAUUUGGAUCUAGGAAGAGAGCCUUCAGAGUCCUUGUUUUAAUUAUUUGCUCUACCAAGAAGAAAAAGAAGAGAGAAAAAAAGAAAAUAAAGAAUACAGACAGGCAGGUUAAUGAGAGAAAAAGAUAAAUAAUGAAGAACAAAAAGCAAGGAGCAAUAUUCUGAAGAGUUACAGACAUGAUGGAAUAAACAGCAAGUUGUCAAAAGGAGCUGCAAAUGCCCAUGUAUGCCCUUUCAGGAGCGCUAGACUAUCUGCAUGAGACAGAGAGUAAAUCCUGAUGCCAUCACUCAAACUAGACCUACAAGUGCCUCGAGUUCUUACAGAUCCCCAUCUUUCUGGGCAAAACAUCCAUCCUUCAAAUCAUUCCACAGGUUAAAGAACAAAUGUCAGGUUACACUCUUGAAUAGUACAGUCCUAUUUUCUCCCAUAAAUGCCUGCAUAGGACGUCUUCUUCAUAUGGACCCUAAAAUAUUUCUACAAGUAGUAGACAUUUUUUAGAACUGCAAUAAAGUAAUGUAAUAAAUGCAUUGUUUGAAUUUUUUCCUGUUUUAUAUAUGAUACCUGAGAUUAGAAUUGUGUCCCUUUUAUAUAAAAUUGGGCAGUUUUAUUUUGUGCCAUUUCAAAGGUAUUGUUCUAUAUCACUGUAGUUUCAGAUGUUUAUUUUUUAUUAUUUCAAAGUCAAAACAUGAAGAAGUAAGAUGUAUGUUUCUGUAUGCCUUUAAAAAUGCAAACCUGCAACAUUAAUGGGAACUUUCCCCAGGACACUUCAUUUCAGUUCCAACUGGCUGCUAAUUACUUACUCACAGUGGAAGUGUCACACUGCUUUCCUUUCAGCACUUCGUUGGCCAAGUGUCUCUGGCAAUAAUCUCUCAACACAUAAGCACCAUUCCCUUUCAUCACAUUAUUUAAUCAAUAAAGUAAUGUCCUCGCACUGGCCAGGCUCAGAGCCAUCUUGUCACAAGUGCUAAAUAAAUGAAACAAACACCAGUCCUGCUUCUACAACCUCUCCAUUAAUAAACAUGAACGGAGACGCCUUUAAUACAAAAUCCAUUCUCUCAAACGUUUAAAACUGCACACACAUGCACGUUUGCAAGACUAGAAGAGGAAUCAUUUAUAUGAUGGUGAGAAUAGACCAAGCAGCACUGGGCCAAGUCCCACUCACAAGUGGUGAGAUUACGUUAUUUCCAACUGGGACAAGUGCCCCUUCCAUGCUCUCCCAGGGCUGCUUGUUCCCAAGGGGUGAUGUUUCCUCAUCCAUGUUCUGUCUGUAAGAGGCAAGCACAUCAUGGCACUCCCUCUGCUGCUCAGUUUACAAAAGAAUGAUAGGAUGCCCCAUUUUUCCUUCUCUUUUUGCCAGGGGCCCUGCACUAUGGUA
rnacentral:lncRNA from 1 species